CUGUUUUACACAUGCGAAUAACAAAAUGUCGCCUAUUCCAAUUGUGAUAUUGUUGGGUUACACAAUUUUUAGCACAAUAUUGACAAAAUCAGCUGCUCGUAAGUGUGGAAUCCACGAGGAAUCUGUUUGUGUUAGACCUCUUUCAUGCGACGCACCAUGCAGUACGUGCGCGGAACUCUUCUGUGCAUGUAAGGUUGGCUACAGAACCAAACGCCUGAAGGGUGGCACUAAAAUCUGCAAGCGACGUACAAAAUCAAAUUCCGGAUUGCUCUAAAAUAUGUGAACUAUACAAAAUGCUGGAUCUCUUUUAGUUAUAAACCCAAAGGUUAUUAAAGGAGGAAAGAAGGAGGUGUAAGAAGUCACAAGCCACAAAACCAAGUCACAAAUACUUGUAGCCUCUUCCGACUGGUCGUCAUUUCUGUAUGUAUUCAAAAGCAAGAGGGGGGAAUUUUAAAGACAACAUUAAUCAGCAGUUUUAAAAAAGUAAACAUGUGAAUAUCA